UGGGGAAGAUUGCGCAAUGGGCGAAAGCCUGACGCAGCGACGCCGCGUGAGGGAUGAAGGUCUUCGGAUCGUAAACCUCUGUCAGCAGGGAAGAACGGUCACUGUGCUAAUCAGCAGUGAAUUGACGGUACCUGCAAAGGAAGCACCGGCUAACUCCGUGCC
rnacentral:rRNA from 1 species